UUCGCCCUUCCUCUCUCGCACUGCUCCGCACCUAAUCCGGCGCCUCCCGACGACUCCGGCGAGCCUCCGCCUCGUCGGUGCCCGGCUUCCCGGCAGCCCGGUGCGAAGCGACCGCUCCUUCGUAGGCCACCGCGUGGUGGAGGAUCGUGGGGCGGUGACGUGGGUGGCGGUAAUGGCAGGGGCGCAGGCGGUGGCCGCGGCGGCGGCCCCGGCCCCGGCCCCGGCCGCCUAGGAUAAGCAGGCGGACCGGCCCCGAAGGCAGGGUGGGGCUGUGGAGGCUGGCCCAGAUACCAGGCGGCUGCCGGCGCAGACAAGGCCAAGGUCUUACAACAGAGCUGAUUGUACAGCCUUUUAUGCAAGGAUACUAGCAGGAUAAUGGAGGAACAUUGAUCACAUGAGAAGGGACUACAUACCUGAUGACCUCAAAUAUCAUGUUGAACAUGGAGAAGUUGAGUGGAUCAUUUCUGAGCCUUCUCCUCUCAGUGAUGCAGGCAACUAUGACAAAGAUGAUAUUACACCCGAGCUGCGAAAAUACUAAGUUCAACAACAACGAUUCAUGUUUGGGUACCACUUUCUCAUCCUCGGUUUUACCAUCUCCAUUUGGUGGUGCAAACGUUGUUAAUGGUGGCAUAUACCUGAAAACAGCAAGUAACUUUUCAGACACGUAUCAUAUACCUGAAAACAGCAUGUAACUUUUCAGACACAUAUCAUCAGGUUCUAAAGCAAGGUGUACUAGUAUGAUAGAGUAGUGCCAAGAACUAACAUCAUGGCGAUGAAUAGUACUAGAACGGCAGGGGAGAUGCUCGAGCAGUCAA